AAAAGAGGCCGGGUUGUUUCAGUCUGAUGUUAAAACAAGAUGGACAACAGUUUUAAGGACAGAGGCGAGGAUAUGGCCAUAUUGUUUUUGAGAAGAAGAGGUACUAACACAAUUGAAGGACAAUAAGAGGAGGAGUGAGCCGCGGACCGUCAAUAUAUAGAGCACGUCCCUGCACUGCGCAGCACAAUACCGCACCACACCACUCACGGCACCACACUUCUCAGGACCGAG